AUUGCUUCUCAACCUUUUGGCUAUCAAGUGUAGUAUCUAAUCAGUGAAAUAUCUGAUAUGUACUCUAUCUGAGGAUAGUAUACUAAAUGUACUUUUGGAGGAGGGAGACAGAAUAGGAGCUUACUUCAACCACUUCACUUGUUGACAUGGUAUUACAGUGCCUCCAGGAAUGGUAAAGCAUUC
ensembl:snRNA U2 U2 spliceosomal RNA